rnacentral:rRNA from 1 species
GCAAGCGUUGUCCGGAAUUAUUGGGCGUAAAGAGCUCGUAGGCGGUCUGUCACGUCGGCUGUGAAAACCCGAGGCUCAACCUCGGGCCUGCAGUCGAUACGGGCAAACUAGAGUACUGCAGGGGAGACUGGAAUUCCUGGUGUAGCGGUGAAAUGCGCAGAUAUCAGGAGGAACACCGGUGGCGAAGGCGGGUCUCUGGGCAGUAACUGACGCUGAGGAGCGAAAGCGUGGGGAGCGAACAGG